UUAACAGGUGUGACGCAGGAAGGUAGCCGGGCCGGGCAAUGGAAAUGACCUGGUCUAAGGGUGUAGGGCUGCCGGUAGGUAAAUCCGCCGGCUGUAUGCCUGAGACCUGAUGGGCGCCCACAUGGUGGGUGAUCCGGUGAUCCUAUGCUGCCUAGAAAAGCAUCGGCGUGAGGUUCAAACUGCCCGUAC
rnacentral:rRNA from 1 species